rnacentral:rRNA from 1 species
GUAGCGAAAUUCCUUGUCGGGUAAGUUCCGACCUGCACGAAUGGCGUAACGACUUCCCCGCUGUCUCCAACAUCGACUCAGCGAAAUUGAAUUGCCUGUCAAGAUGCAGGCUUCCCGCGGUUAGACGGAAAGACCCCGUGCACCUUUACUACAGCUUCACACUGGCAUCAGGCCAAGCAUGUGCAGGAUAGGUGGUAGGCUUCGAAGCAGUGACGCCAGUCGCUGUGGAGCCUUCCUUGAGAUACCACCCUUGCUUUGCUUGAUGUCUAACCGCGGUCCGUUAUCCGGAUCCGGGACCCUGUGUGGUGGGUAGUUUGACUGGGGCGGUCGA